rnacentral:rRNA from 1 species
AGUGAACGCUGGCGGUAGGCCUAACACAUGCAAGUCGAACGGCAGCACAGUAAGAGCUUGCUCUUACGGGUGGCGAGUGGCGGACGGGUGAGGAAUACAUCGGAAUCUACUUUUUCGUGGGGGAUAACGUAGGGAAACUUACGCUAAUACCGCAUACGACCUACGGGUGAAAGCAGGGGAUCUUCGGACCUUGCGCGAUUGAAUGAGCCGAUGUCGGAUUAGCUAGUUGGCGGGGUAAAGGCCCACCAAGGCGACGAUCCGUAGCCGGUCUGAGAGGAUGAUCGGCCACACUGGAGCUGAGACACGGUCCAGACUCCUACGGGAGGCAGCAGUGGGGAAUAUUGGACAAUGGGCGCAAGCCUGAUCCAGCCAUACCGCGUGGGUGAAGAAGGCCUUCGGGUUGUAAAGCCCUUUUGUUGGGAAAGAAAAGCAGCAGGUUAAUACCCCGCUGUUCUGACGGUACCCAAAGAAUAAGCACCGGCUAACUUCGUG